UGAUUUAAAAGUCGUAACAAGGUUUCCGUAGGUGAACCUGCGGAAGGAUCAUUAACGAUCGUGGAGUCCAUCUCCCGUGUGAACUGUACUGGAAUCAUCUUCUUGCGAUACAUUUUGGGGGGGUCGACCUAGCGGUCGUCAAGUGCUGUGUGCGUAGCAGUCAGCCCCCCCCCACGUUCGCAUGUCUUUGUUUUCUAUCCAGUUUGUCAAUAGUGAGAAUGAUCGAAAGAUACGUAAAAAUGAGUAAAACAACUCAGAACGGUGGAUCUCUUGGCUCACGCAUCGAUGAAGAACGCAGCCAACUGCGAUAAGUAGUGUGAAUUGCAGAAGACAGUGAAUCAUCGAAUCUUUGAACGCAAAUGGCGCUCUCGGGCCCUGGUCCCGGGAGCAUGUCUGUCUGAGGGUCGAAUACACUGUGCGUCUUUCUUCUUUGCGAGGAAAGAUGGUGUUGAGGUGUCACGGCCAAAAAAGAGAAUAGGCCGUGUCCCUUGAAAUGUAGAAUGCCGGUGGACGACCGCGACUCGUUCAUCGCCCACAGGCAAACAGAGAGGAACAAACACUUAAAUACGACCUCAGAUCAGGCAAGAUUACCCGCUGAAUUUAAGCAUAUCAAUAAGCG
rnacentral:rRNA from 1 species